CGCGGCGGCCAUUUUGUGAGGACACCAUUAUUUAAAGAGAAGAGCGAGUGCGGCCGCUUCCCCCCUGCUCCGUGUCUCCGGCUCCGCCCGUCGGCUCGGCCGCUUCCCCCUGCUCCGUGUCUCCGGCUCGGCCGCAGAUCCCGCCGGUUCUUCUCCUUCAUUAACCGAGAUCACCUGCUCCCUUCCCCCGGUGUGUGCGAGUCUCUCUCCCCCCUUUGAUCAGGGCGGCGGUACAGCAGCAGCAGCGGCGGGUUGCCCAGUGAUGUCGGAGGCGGUGCAGUUCUCCGAGGUCGAGGCCGAGGCCUCCGAACAAGGCCUGGGAGCGGUGGCGGCGGCGGCGGCGGACUCGGCGGCGGCGGUGGGCAUGAGCGAUGCGGCGUCGGAGGCCAAGGCGGGCGAGGGCGCCGACAGCUCGGCCGCAGUCAUCGAGACGGAAGGGGCCAAGAUCGACGCGAGUAAAACGGAGGAGGACGAAGGAAAAAUGUUUGUGGGUGGCCUCAGCUGGGAUACCACAAAGAAAGAUCUGAAGGACUAUUUCUCUAAAUUUGGAGAGGUGGUAGAUUGCACAUUAAAGUUGGAUCCCAUUACAGGGCGUUCAAGAGGAUUUGGAUUCGUCCUGUUUAAAGAGGCUGACAGUGUGGAUAAGGUUAUGGAACAGAAGGAGCAUAAAUUGAAUGGCAAAGUGAUUGAUCCCAAAAAAGCCAAGGCAAUGAAAAAAGAACCUGUAAAGAAAAUUUUUGUAGGUGGUCUUUCACCUGAUACAGCUGAAGAGAAGAUAAGAGAAUAUUUUGGCGCUUUUGGGGAAGUGGAAUCAAUAGAGCUUCCUAUGGACAACAAAACAAAUAAGAGGCGUGGAUUCUGUUUCAUAACUUUCAAGGAAGAGGAGCCAGUUAAAAAGAUUCUUGAAAAGAAGUUCCAUAAUGUUGGACUCAGCAAGUGUGAGAUCAAGGUGGCAAUGUCAAAGGAAGUCUAUCAGCAGCAGCAGCAGUGGGGAGUUGGUCGAGGUACUUUUGCAGGUCGAGGUCGUGGCAGAGGCGGAGGGACAGGUGCUGGAGCCCCAAGCCAGAACUGGAACCAAGGAUAUAAUAACUACUGGAAUCAAGGCUAUGGCAGCUAUAACUAUGGCUACAAUAGCCAGGGCUAUGGAGGUUAUGGUGGCUAUGACUAUCCUGCUUAUAAUAACUACUAUGGAUAUGGUGACUAUGGCAAUCAACAGAGUGGUUAUGGGAAAGCACCACGACGUGGAGGUCAUCAGAAUAGCUACAAACCAUACUAAGAUUUGUCCCUGCAGCCCAUUGGAAGCAGCGGGAACUUCAUUGCAGGCCAUGUGUCACCCUGACCACACGAUUCUCACAGGCCCGCUCAAUGCGGACAGAGUACGAGACGCUCGCGCUCUCGAAUGCUGCCGUUUGGUGAAGGAACAGUAUUUUACUCCAGAUAGAAGAUUCAUAGGAAGUGGUGUUUAGGCCUCUCUAAAGCAGCAUUUAACUGUUCAGUACAUUUUUUGUUCUGUAUCAUUCGCCAACCCCUCUACUACCCACCCUUGCCAUCUCCACAAGAACUGCUGCAUCCUGUCCCAUCUCAUUGAAUUCGGUUUUGAUUUAAAAAAAAAUAUAUUGCUUUUAUUAUUUUUACCUGGUAGAUGUGUUCUCUGUGACCAACCAUUUUUUUUGUACAUUUUCUCCCCAUAUGGAUUGUUACAUUGGAUGCGUAUGUGUUCAAUUCAUUGUGAUGACAUUUAGAUAUGGUACAAGUACCCUAUUGGAUUGUUGGUUUUUUAAUAAAACUUUUUGUAUAAUAA